CAAGGUUCGUUUCGUCUUCUUACAUUGAAAUUUCACUUUGACUAAUUUUUUUCCCCUUCUCCACUCUCAAAAUAUGCAUGUGAAACAAACUCUCUAUUAGUUUGGAUGGAAAUUUUUUUUCCCCUUCUUCUUACAAUGCUAAAUAUGUAUUCUGGAUUGUUUAAAUGGUUGAGCUUCUGUGCCUAGAAAUUCUUUGCAGGAAGUUGCUGAACCAAUGCACAUGUAUAACAUCUUCACAUAAUUUUAAAAUAUAUACAGUACUUUUAAAUUAUUCUACAUGCUUGGUUGUGGUCCCUUCACCUAAGAAUGUUUGCUGACAUGAUCUUCUCCUUUAUUGCUAUUAUUAUACUCGAAAAUUAACAAAUGAAUAAAAUUAUGAAGCGGAGGUGGAAAAUGAAGGCCAUUGAGAAAUGUGAUGUGAUGGUGUACACAAAGAUCUUCUUAAAGUUUCCAUAUAAGUUCUAGCCUAGUGGACCCGAAAAAGAAUUCUUUAUAUAUGCCCAUUAGCGGAGAGGUUACUACACGUUCUGGCAGGCCUUCAGAUUCACUCUUCAAUGAUCAUAGGCAGCCUGUACCUCAGAGGCCAUGACCACCGCCUUUUUCCCCAGAAAACCAUUAUUUUUUUGACAAUUUUGGUCCUUUUGUUGAAACUCAGAGAACUGCCAUAUCUCCCCCUGUAUGGUGUAACCAGGCAACGUUGCCAGGCAAUUUUAGCAACUCAUGGACUUGCCAAGACCAACCUGCAGUCUUGCCUUAUGAUUCUAGAAAAAAAUUUUGCAACCAAGAAUGUGGAUGCUCAGGCCCCAAAAAGAACCAGGUCCCCACCUAUACCAUCUGCAGAUGAAGUUUCCCAAGAAUAUUCUUAUCUUAGUCGAAAUGACAAAAUUCAAGCUGUGCUUGAGGCAUGUGCCUGUCCACGGCUUGUGGAGCUUCUGCUUUCUUAUACUCACACUUAGGGCAGUGGGAAACAUUGUUAAUGGUGAUGAUGCCCAAACUCAGCAUCAAGAAAUAAGCUUGCCCGACAAUAUCAAAUAUCACUGCUGGGAAUAGAAGUCAAAUUCAGGUGCAAGCUUGUAUUUGAGGAACAUAUAUCUCCAUGGUAACAAAUUAGAAUUCAACCGGUACCUUAUAUAGUGGUGAAGUAUUCGAAUGAACCGGACAAUCCCACCAAGUGAAGUUCUCUAAACUUUGUCGAUGCUGAGUUUCACAAGAAUUGGCCUUUUUUUUAUUUCGUUUUAAUUUUCUUGAAUGUUUUCCUCCAUUUUCUCAGCUUCCAAACGGUGCAAUUGUGCUUGCUAAAUCAUGGGUUUUAUCUGAUUUUGUGUGUGUGUGUGUGUUUUCUGGUGCCUUUUUUAUUUCAGCGUGCAAAGCUAGGGGCUCCGAUCUCCGAGUUCAUUUCAAGGUUGGUCUGUUUAUGGUCAUGUGCGAUUCGUAGGACAGGAUUAGCUUUUGUGUUUCUUUCUUACUCAGCCUGAUGAAAAAAAAAAAAAAAACAGGGCUCCUCACCUUUUGUGGAUCAGUCUCUCGUAAACUGGAGGGAAAUUGUUGCAUUGUGAUUUGGUGAACCUAUAUUAUGAAGUGGAAUGAGCAGUGGGGGAAUGGGAUUUUCGCAGGGCCUCUUUAAUUGAACAUCUUCAUUUGGCAUGGAAUUUUUCAAAUAAUAUUUUAUGUUUUGUUUGAAGCUAGUUAUUUGGUUUUAUUUGAAGCUUAAUGGAUUAAUAAGGCUCCCGAGACACUCUUCUUGAACAUUGACACUUGAUUAUUGUUUGUGAGCAAGUUACUUAAGAGCUCGGAAGGGGCAUGGUGUGUUUUUUAUUUUAUUGAACAAAUUACAAACAUCUCCCUCGAGGUUUGGUGAAAAUAUAGAUUUUCCCCUGAGGUUUGAGAAAUUACAUCCCGCUCCCAGAGGUUUAUAUUUUUAUAACAAAUUGUCCCCUGAAGUUUUUAUUUUCACACAGGUUCCCCUCUAAUUUGUUAUGCAAAUUUGACCAUCAAGGGGCAAUUUGUAAUUUCUCAAACCUUAGGGGGGGAAUCUGUAUUUUCAACAAAUCUCGAGGGGGAUAUUUGUAAUUUGUCCUAUUUUAUUUUAUUUUUUUUCAUUUUUAGUGUUUUUUAUAUUGCCAAGUCCCAUUUCACCGCUUGAGUGAAUGUUACAUUGUUAUGUUUCUUGUUGAUGCGUAAUGGAUAUUGUUUUGGCCAUAGCUAUUCCCAAAGUGCUUAAUGUUAC